GACGAACGCUGGCGGCGUGCUUAACACAUGCAAGUCGAACGGAAAGGCCCUGCUUUUGUGGGGUGCUCGAGUGGCGAACGGGUGAGUAACACGUGAGUAACCUGCCCUUGACUUUGGGAUAACUUCAGGAAACUGGGGCUAAUACCGGAUAGGAGCUCCUGCUGCAUGGUGGGGGUUGGAAAGUUUCGGCGGUUGGGGAUGGACUCGCGGCUUAUCAGCUUGUUGGUGGGGUAGUGGCUUACCAAGGCUUUGACGGGUAGCCGGCCUGAGAGGGUGACCGGCCACAUUGGGCCUGAGAUACGGCCCAGACUCCUACGGGAGGCAGCAGUGGGGAAUAUUGCACAAUGGGCGGAAGCCGGAUGCAGCAACGCCGCGUGCGGGAUGACGGCCUUCGGGUUGUAAAACGCUUUCGCCUGUGACGAAGCGUGAGUGACGGUAAUGGGUAAAGAAGCACCGGCUAACUACGU
rnacentral:rRNA from 1 species